rnacentral:lncRNA from 1 species
GUUUUAUAUAUAGGAGCUAAAAUUAACUUUUCAAAAUGAAAAUCUCAUAAUUUUCAUAGGCCAACCAUUCCAUUUCCACCCACAAAUUAAAAACUCUUGAAUGGCUUCCCAGUGUUCUUAGCAUACGAAAAAUCUUACAAUGGCCUGUAAGGCACUGCAUGAUCUGGUCUCAGCCUAUACAACUGCCGCCUCAAAUGAAUAUUUCUUCCACUCUACUAGCUAUAAUUAAAAUUUAAUUAUUCCAAUGCAUCAUACAAGUAAAUUUAAUGUAGUAUCAAUAGAAGCAAACAAAUGAACACCUAAGGUUCUUUAUGCAUAACAGUAUAUACAUAUUUUGUUUAAAAUUUACUUUCUUGAAAUCUAGCUAUAUACCUUUACAUUGCACCUUAUUUAUUUAUCUACAUCCAUUCUUCCUUUUUCUCAUGGUAUAGCAGUUACUAGGUUUAGGUGAGAUGACACAUGGCCCAUGUUGGUACCAAAAUGGCUGCAACAGUUCAGUGAUAGGCCCUGUCUAUCCUAAGCCAACUAUAAUCCUAUCCCUAUGAGGUACAUCAGCCUGAGGAUGAAGCUGACACGAAGGACUGCAGAAUAUAACUGGAGUACAAUACAUUUUCUUUGUUUAAUCCAGUUUGACUUAGGUUUCAUAUUGUUAUUUAUAUUUGUUAUAUUUAUUUAUAUGUUAUUCAUUACUUAUAACUAAAAGAACUCUAAACAAUCUAAAGUAAACAAAGACUACUUAAAUUGAAAAUAAAAAAACUUUUCUUAGAAACAAUGUUCCUCUUCAUCUUAACGUAUCUCAUAUAAUUUUAACAGUAAAACUUAAAAUACAAUAUACAUCAAUAUGCUUCAAAAUUACAACUUUAAAAGCCAGACAAUCUCCCUUCCACUCCAGCCUGGUGGGGGCUGGAGUCUGCGUGAUAAGGCAAUGAGAGGUGUCAGAUGGGGAUGGUUUACUAAUUUCCUCCCCUCCUAUUUAAUAAAGAAGGGACAUAGGUAAAUUGGGGAGUUCUGAUAACUGAUAACCAAAAAAUUUAGGUAACAGUUAAAGCUUUAGGCCUGCAAAUAAUUUAACCUCAGAACCAAUUCACUCCUCAUUGUCUGGCCACCUAAAGAUAAAGUAAAAUUUUGGGGUCAAAAUAGGCAAACUUGGCCCUAAAAUAAUGUUCACCGUCACCUAGCACAGGUAACCAACUUUUGUUCACAUUACUGUAGAUCCUUGCUGACUAAAAAGAAAUGUAAUAGCUCUAUUAAGGAACUUCAACUCAAAAUGAAGAAAAUAUUAAUAUGACCAGAAUGCUAUUUCAUGCUAGACAGUGCCAGGUUUAGACUCAUGUUGUUCAGC